rnacentral:rRNA from 1 species
GCCUGCCUCAGAUUGGGGAAACAGUUGGAACGACUGCUAAUACCCAAUGAGCCUUAGGGUAAAAGAUUUAUCGUCUGGAGAGGAGCUCGCGUCCGAUUAGCUAGUUGGUGGGGUAAAAGCUUACCACGGCAGCGAUCGGUAGCUGGUCUGAGAGGAUGAGCAGCCACACUGGGACUGAGACACGGCCCAGACUCCUACGGGAGGCAGCAGUGGGGAAUUUUCCGCAAUGGGCGCAAGCCUGACGGAGCAAUACCGCGUGAGGGAGGAAGGCUUUUGGGUUGUAAACCUCUUUUCUCAAGGAAGAACUCAAUGACGGUACUUGAGGAAUCAGCAUCGGCAAACUCCGUGCCAGCAGCCGCGGUAAUACGGAGGAUGCAAGCGUUAUCCGGAAUUAUUGGGCGUAAAGCGUCCGCAGGUGGUUAUUCAAGUCUGCUGUCAAAGACCUCAGCUUAACUGUGGGCAGGCAGUGGAAACUGGGUAACUAGAGUACGGUAGGGGUAGAGGGAAUUUCCAGUGUAGCGGUGAAAUGCGUAGAGAUUGGAAAGAACACCAGUGGCGAAGGCGCUCUACUGGGCCGUAACUGACACUCAGGGACGAAAGCUAGGGGAGCGAAUGGGAUUAGAUCC